GACGUAGGGCGCGAGCGUUGUCCGGAUUUAUUGGGCGUAAAGAGCUCGUAGGCGGCUUGUCGCGUCGGCUGUGAAAUCCCGUGGCUCAACUGCGGGUCUGCAGCCGAUACGGGCAGGCUAGAGUUCGGUAGGGGAGACUGGAAUUCCUGGUGUAGCGGUGAAAUGCGCAGAUAUCAGGAGGAACACCGAUGGCGAAGGCAGGUCUCUGGGCCGGUACUGACGCUGAGGAGCGAAAGCGUGGGGAGCGAACAGG
rnacentral:rRNA from 1 species